GGUUUCGUAGCUCAAUUGGUUAGAGCAUCGAUCUGAUACGUCGAAGGUUGAAGGUUCGAGUCCUUCCGAAACUA
rnacentral:tRNA from 1 species